UGUCCUAGUGACCUUAGAAGCUGAAACUCUGAUACACUACCUCACUUCUAGACCUUAUGUCAUACAUGCAACAAAACCGUCCUUUCUCUUUCACUGUAUGGAAUUACUUGCAAUACUUAUUCCAUACCAAUGAGUCAAUCUUGUUCUACUAAUAGAUUCAUAUAUUUCUCAAAAUUCUAAAAAAUUCAUCCAAAAGGAAUUCUCAACUC
rnacentral:lncRNA from 1 species